rnacentral:lncRNA from 1 species
AAGCAGGAAGCAGCGCCUUUCUGGAUCCUCCUCAUGAGGAGCGUCACUGCAGUUUGUUGGUUCACGCUGCAAAUGUGAAGUGAAGUGAUCAAAGGUUCUCGUGAUCAUGCUUCAACUGACUCUAACCUGACAAAUGCAUCCAAGCUGUUACUAUUAUUAGCUUAUUUGCUGUUGUCUGUUGUCAGUGAUGCUUCUUUUCCACUUUGAACGGAUUUCAGACUUUGCUCAUGAAUCAGUAACACGUCACUGACGCUGAGGACCACAGUGAGUGAGAGCAGAGGAAGCUCAGCCAGUGGAGCCUGUCGUCUGCAUCACUGCGUCUCCGCUCAGGUUCCAGAGCGACGUCUCCCAGAACUCUUCUAGUGGAGCGCCCAUUCACCGUCAUCUUGCUGGAACCCAGAGUUUAGACACAUAUGAGCUGAGUGAACGCCCCACGAGCGAAGGAGAGGAAAUAAAGGGAGAGGAGGUGAGUCAAGGCCGCGUUGGCUCUCACGUCACAGACUCGUUUAGAUGGAAGGAAAGAGGCAGAAUCCGGAUGGACGGAUUCACAUACGCAGACGGUUUUAUUUCUGAUCGCGAUGCUUCCUUCAACAGAGGAGGUCACGGGUUCUACACCUGCAGACGGUCCAGUGGAUCAGAACAUGAACGGGGAGAAGACGCGAUGGUUCAGCACCAAACCAUCAGGAAAGACCAGUGAACUGGACCCAACAACAGAGAAGCGUCCACCAGAACCCCCUGGAGGUGACGCUCGUGCCUCUCUCUCCUCUCUGAACGACGUGUGAUUGUCAGAAAGCACUAUUUUCAUCAUCACUAUUCCAGCAGAGCCUCAGACACAUUAGACGUUCUUUAAACAGUCUAAACUCCAUUGUUUUAGCUUUGUGAUAUUUUCUGUAAUAUUUACAAUAUUUCCGUUUCUGCCACAGUUUGAAAAAUGAAUGUCAUGGAUUCAAUAAAUCAAAGCAUGUUUUAUUGAUUGUUUUAUUU